CGCGUAGGCGGUUAUUUAAGUCAGGGGUGAAAACUCUGGGCUCAACCCAGAGCCUGCCUCUGAAACUGGGUGACUUGAGGGCAGGAGAGGGGAGUGGAAUUCCCAGUGUAGCGGUGAAAUGCGUAGAUAUUGGGAGGAACACCAGUGGCGAAGGCGACUCUCUGGCCUGUUACUGACGCUGAGGCGCGAAAGCGUGGGGAUCAAACAG
rnacentral:rRNA from 1 species